CACGCCGUAAACGGUGGGUACUAGGUGUGGGGCUCAUUUCACGAGUUCUGUGCCGUAGCUAACGCAUUAAGUACCCCGCCUGGGGAGUACGGCCGCAAGGCUAAAACUCAAAGGAAUUGA
rnacentral:rRNA from 1 species